CUGUCUGCUUUAUCCGCUCCUG
rnacentral:miRNA from 12 species